AUAUAACGUUUCUGGUUUCUUCAAUCAAUUAAACGUAGUUAUUUAGUACAUGAGAUAACUUAAUGUAAUUCAUACGUGUAAAGCACGAUAUGGUAUCAUUAAAAUUUCCCCGAUUGAUAAUUAUAUAAAUAUAUAAGAUAUAUUACAUUAUAGAAGUUGUAUUGGUAAAUUAUACAUGUAUUGUAUUGCUAACUUCUUUAUUAAUGGAAUUUUACUGUAAUUAAAUAAGAAAUAAAAUUGCUGUUUAUGUGA